rnacentral:rRNA from 1 species
UACGUAGGGGGCGAGCGUUGUCCGGAAUUACUGGGCGUAAAGCGCAUGUAGGCGGGCGACUAAGUCAGGGGUGAAAACCGUGGGCUCAACCUACGGCUUGCCCUUGAUACUGGUCGUCUUGAGUACAGGAGAGGGAAGCGGAAUUCCCGCUGUAGCGGUGAAAUGCGUAGAUAUCGGGAGGAACACCAGUGGCGAAGGCGGCUUCCUGGCCUGUUACUGACGCUGAGAUGCGAAAGCGUGGGGAGCGAACGGG